rnacentral:lncRNA from 1 species
GGGGUACUCUAUAUGGUUUUGUCAACAGGUUGAGAAGGUCCUGAGAAAUUGCGUCCUCCUUAUGUGGUAAUAACCACUGUGCCUGUACCAUGAUAAUUUGACCACGAUACUGAGGAAAACCAUCAGGGGGGUCCUGUUUGGUGUCGAUCAUGACAUUCAAGUGAUUGGAAAGAACGUGACGACGCACGUUGCGUGUUGCAAC